GAGUUUGAUCCUGGCUCAGGACAAACGCUGGUGGCGCGCCUAAUACAUGCAAGUCGAACGAGAAAGUCUCUUCGGAGGCGAGUAAAGUGGCGAACGGGUGAGUAACGCGUGGAUAACGUGCCCUCAGGUGGGGGAUAACCGGCCGAAAGGACGGCUAAUACCGCAUAAGACCACAGUAUCACAAGAUACAGGGGUCAAAGAUUUAUUGCCUGAGGAUCGGUCCGCGUCCGAUUAGCUUGUUGGCGGGGUAAAGGCCCGUUAAGGCGGUGAUCGGUAGCUGGUCUGAGAGGAUGAUCAGCCACAUUGGGACUGAGACACGGCCCAAACUCCUACGGGAGGCAGCAGUAGGGAAUCUUGCGCAAUGGGCGAAGGCCUGACGCAGCGACGCCGCGUGGGGGAUGAAUGCCUUAGGGUUGUAAACCCCUUUCACGAGGGAAGAAAAUGACGGUACCUCGAGAAGAAGCCCCGGCCAACUACGUGCCAGCAGCCGCGGUAAUACGUAGGGGGCGAGCGUUGUCCGGAUUUAUUGGGCGUAAAGGGCUCGUAGGCGGCUUGGCAAGUCGGCCGUGAAAACCCAGGGCUCAACCCUGGGAGGCCGGUCGAUACUGCCAUGGCUAGGGUCCGGUAGAGGGGAAUGGAAUUCCCGGUGUAGCGGUGAAAUGCGCAGAUAUCGGGAGGAACACCAGUAGCGAAGGCGGUUCCCUGGGCCGGCACCGACGCUGAGGAGCGAAAGCGUGGGGAGCAAACAGGAUUAGAUACCCUGGUAGUC
rnacentral:rRNA from 1 species